UGAUGAUGAUGAUGAUGAUGAUGAUGGCGAUGAACUCAAUAAACAAUGAGAGAAGCACCCAGAGUUGGGAUGCAAGUAUCUGACGGGGAUGAAGCACCAUAAGUGGAGUGAACUUUUGGAUGGUUGGAAGAAGCACAAGGUUAAACUCUUGAUAUUGCUGGCCUGUGGAAGUAAUGGUGCUUCAGUACCCCCAAUGAGAAGCUGCGUACCACUCACUGGGCCCUACUUGAACAUCUUGUGCAAGGACAAAAAAAAAACUACUUUAGUGCUGUAAAAAAUGUCAGGUAGUAAAACGUAUUUGGUAGUCAAUUCUUGUUUUUCUUAUUUACCAUUUGUUUUCUGUUGCUAUUAGCAUCCUUUUCCAUUCUGAAAUGUAGACUGCGGAUCAUGGAAGUGCUUUAUUUGUAUGCUAAUACCUUUGUGAUUUGUAUUA